rnacentral:rRNA from 1 species
UGGGGAAUAUUGCACAAUGGGGGAAACCCUGAUGCAGCGACGCCGCGUGAGUGAAGAAGUAUUUCGGUAUGUAAAGCUCUAUCAGCAGGGAAGAUAAUGACAGUACCUGACUAAGAAGCCCCGGCUAACUACGUGCCAGCAGCCGCGGUAAUACGUAGGGGGCAAGCGUUAUCCGGAUUUACUGGGUGUAAAGGGAGCGUAGACGGAAUGGCAAGUCUGAAGUGAAAUACCCGGGCUCAACCUGGGAACUGCUUUGGAAACUGUUGUUCUAGAGUGUUGGAGAGGUAAGUGGAAUUCCUGGUGUAGCGGUGAAAUGCGUAGAUAUCAGGAAGAACACCGGAGGCGAAGGCGGCUUACUGGACAAUAACUGACGUUGAGGCUCGAAAGCGUGGGGAUCAAACAGGAUUAGAUACCCUGGUAGUCCACGCUGUAAACGAUGAAUACUAGGUGUCGGGGUACAAAGUAUCUCGGUGCCGUCGCUAACGCAAUAAGUAUUCCACCUGGGGAGUACGUUCGCAAGAAUG